rnacentral:rRNA from 1 species
GUGGGGAAUAUUGGGCAAUGGGCGGAAGCCUGACCCAGCGACGCCGCGUGGGGGAAGAAGUCUUUCGGGAUGUAAACCCUUGUUGUACGGGACGAAGGAAGUGACGGUACCGUACGAGGAAGCCCCGGCAAACUACGUGCCAGCAGCCGCGGUAAUACGUAGGGGGCGAGCGUUGUCCGGAAUCACUGGGCGUAAAGCGCACGUAGGCGGGCUGUCAAGUCGGCCGUGAAAGGCACGGGCUCAACCUGUGCAUGUCGGUCGAUACUGGCGGUCUGGAGUAUGGGAGAGGGAACUGGAAUUCCCGGUGUAGCGGUGAAAUGCGUAGAUAUUGGGAAGAACACCGGUGGCGAAGGCGACUUGCUGGGCAGCAACUGACGCUGAGGCGCGAAAGCCAGGGGAGCAAACGGGAUUAGAAACCCCAGUAGUCC